GUCUUUUUGUUAAUAAUUUAAAGUCUAAUCUGCCCACUGAUAUAUUUAUUAAAGGGCUGCAGUAUUUUGACUGUACAAAGGUAGCAUAAUCAUUAGUCUUUUAAUUGGUGACUCGUAUGAAAGAUUGGAUGAAAUAUAAACUGUCUCUUUUAUAAAAAAAAAAUUGAAUUUAAUUUUUUAAUUAAGAAGUUAAAAUUAUUUAAAAAGACGAGAAGACCCUAUAGAGUUUUAUAAUUUAUUUUGUAAAUAUUUUUAUUUUUAUAUUUUUAUAAUUUUAAAUUAUUUUGUUGGGGUGAUAAAAAAAUUUAAUUAACUUUUUUUAAUAGUUUACAUUAAUAAGUGAUUAAAUGAUCCAAUUUUAUUGAUUAAAAGAAAAAAUUACCUUAGGGAUAACAGCGUAAUUUUCUUUUUUAGUUCAAAUAAAAAGAAAAGUUUGCGACCUCGAUGUUGGAUUAAGAUAAAAUUUAAAUGUAGAAGUUUAAAAUUUUGAUCUGUUCGAUCAUUAAAAUCUU
rnacentral:rRNA from 1 species